GCAAUUGAUUUUUGAUAUAAUUAUCUGACCAGCUCUCAUAAACAUGAUCGUCACUCAAGCCGAUGCUUGGGCUUUUGAAUCUAAGCUGCAUGACUCGACAAAAGAAACUACAAAAUGGAAUAAUGUUCCUCUGAGAAUUCUAUAAUUGUGUGAGAGUGGGUUGAUAUUGAUACAAACAGCCAUUGGUGAAAAAUGGCAAACUUGUCUGGUGUCUCAUUUUUGUUCCAUUUAGCUGCAAAACACACGAAGUAAUGAUUUACAACCUACCUUUAAUCUUUAUUUUUGUUGUAAACCAACGCAGGUAUACUUUGGCAUGCUUGAUGCGUUAUUGGCUGCAGAGGAGCUUCCAGAGGAAUACAGGGACCGUUAUCAGGACAUACUAUGCAAUGAUUGUGAUCA
rnacentral:misc_RNA from 1 species